rnacentral:rRNA from 1 species
CGCUGAAUCAAGCAUAUCANUAAGCGGAGGAAAAGAAACUAACAAGGAUUCCCCCAGUAAUGGCGAAUGAAGCGGGAACAGCUCAAAUUUGAAAUCUGCGUCGCCUGCGACGCCGAAUUGUAGUUUCUAGAAGCACCUUCUAGGCGAAGCCGGCGCCGUCCAAGUUGCCUGGAACGGCACGUCGCAGAGGGUGACAACCCCGUCCGCGGCGGCGUCGGUCGCUCACGAUGUGCUUUCCAAGAGUCGGGUUGUUUGGGAAUGCAGCCCAAAAUGGGUGGUAGACUCCAUCUAAAGCUAAAUAUCGGCACGAGACCGAUAGCGAACAAGUACCGUGAGGGAAAGAUGAAAAGCACUUUGAAAAGAGAGUCAAACAGUACGUGAAACCGUUAAAAGGGAAACGGACGGGGCCAGCAUUGCGCCCCUUCGAGAUUCAGCCGGGCCUGGCUUCGGGCGGGCGGCCAUCAAGCGGAUCCGUACGGACCGCGGCCGUCUCGGUUCGGGGACUCGACCGUCGCACUUCUCGGGGGCGCGUGCCAACGUCGGUUGUCUCUGGGUCUCAAGGGCUUCGGCAAGGUGGGUUCUUUGCUCUCGGGCUGGAACUGUUUAUAGGCCGAACGUCGCAUGGCCCGGGGGCGACCGAGGUGUCGCGGCGCGUGCCAUCAUCUGGCUCGGGGCCCGCUCGGCUUGGUCGGUAGUCGACUCUGGCGGACUGCGUGCAGUGCGCCUCGACCGCUGCCGGCCGCCCGGGUGGUGUUCCUCAGAACUUGACGCGCCAAGGACGUUGGCGACCAAAUGGCCUCGUUCGACCCGUCUUGAAACACGGACCAAGGAGUCUAACAUGUGCGCGAGUCUUCGAGUGACCGAAACUCGCCGGCGCAAUGAAAGUGAAGGCGGACUCGUCUCCGCCGAGGUGAGAAGCCGUCCUGUCGGGGCGGCCGCAUCAUCGACCGACCUAUUCUGCUCUCAGGAAGGUUGAGUAAGAGCGCACCUGUUGGGACCCGAAAGAUGGUGAACUAUGCCUGAAUAGGNUGAAGC